rnacentral:rRNA from 1 species
GAUGAACGCUGGCGGCGUGCCUAAUACAUGCAAGUCGAGCGAAUGGAUUAAGAGCUUGCUCUUAUGAAGUUAGCGGCGGACGGGUGAGUAACACGUGAGUAACCUGCCCAUAAGACUGGGAUAACUCCGGGAAACCGGGGCUAAUACCGGCUAAUAUUUUGAACUGCAUGGUUCAAACUUGAAAGGCGGCUUCGGCUGUCACUUAUGGCGGGACCCGCGUCGCAUUAGCUCGUUGGUGAGGUAACGGCUCACCAAGGCAACUAUGCGAAGCCGACCUGAGAGGGUGAGCGGCCACACUGGGACUGAGACACGGCCCAGACUCCUACGGGAGGCAGCAGUAGGGAAUCUUCCGCAAUGGACGAAAGUCUGACGGAGCAACGCCGCGUGAGUGAUGAAGGCUUUCGGGUCGUAAAACUCUGUUGUUAGGGAGAACAAGUGCUAGUUGAAUAAGCUGGCACCUUGACGGUACCUAACCAGAAAGCCACGGCUAACUACGUGCCAGCCGCCGCAGUAA